UCUCUCUGAAUCUGCGAACGGCUCCGCAUACCAGUUGUAAACUAUAGCGAGGAAGCCUUGGACUGCGGUCAUUCUCCACCCCUUUAGUGGGAUGGGGGUGAUCGUAGAAUCAAGGCUUCACAUGGAUAACCAUGGUAAUUCUGAGGCUAAUACAAGAACGUUAAAAACUUGAUUUAACCGGCUUCUAAACCGGGAAAAUUGGGGGUUGUGUGGCUUAACUGCAACACUUCAUAACGAAUCAAUGCACAAUUUGACCACCACACAAACCGGCUCAGGUUUUUCUUUUCGCAAGUACCCUAGGGGAAAGCUUAAAAAACGCCUUUUGCUGGGUGGUUCUCGCUUUGUGCUUCUGACCUAUCAACUAGAUUGCAGCGUAAGGGACAUGCUAUGGUUACAACGGGUACAGAGGAUAAGGGUUCGAUCCUGGAGAGUGGGCCUGAGAGAUU
rnacentral:rRNA from 1 species